rnacentral:rRNA from 1 species
CAGGCCUAACACAUGCAAGUCGAGCGCACCUUCGGGUGAGCGGCGGACGGGUUAGUAACGCGUGGGAACGUGCCCUUCUCUAAGGAAUAGCCUCGGGAAACUGAGAGUAAUACCUUAUACGCCCUUCGGGGGAAAGAUUUAUCGGAGAAGGAUCGGCCCGCGUUAGAUUAGAUAGUUGGUGGGGUAACGGCCUACCAAGUCGACGAUCUAUAGCUGGUUUUAGAGGAUGAUCAGCAACACUGGGACUGAGACACGGCCCAGACUCCUACGGGAGGCAGCAGUGGGGAAUCUUAGACAAUGGGCGCAAGCCUGAUCUAGCCAUGCCGCGUGAGUGAUGAAGGCCUUAGGGUCGUAAAGCUCUUUCGCCAGGGAUGAUAAUGACAGUACCUGGUAAAGAAACCCCGGCUAACUCCGUGCCAGCAGCCGCGGUAAUACGGAGGGGGUUAGCGUUGUUCGGAAUUACUGGGCGUAAAGCGCACGUAGGCGGACUAUUAAGUCAGAGGUGAAAUCCCGGGGCUCAACCCCGGAACUGCCUUUGAUACUGGUAGUCUUGAGUUCGAGAGAGGUGAGUGGAAUUCCGAGUGUAGAGGUGAAAUUCGUAGAUAUUCGGAGGAACACCAGUGGCGAAGGCGGCUCACUGGCUCGAUACUGACGCUGAGGUGCGAAAGUGUGGGGAGCAAACAGGAUUAGAUACCCUGGUAGUCCACACCGU